rnacentral:rRNA from 1 species
AGUCCACGCCGUAAACGAUGAUAACUAGCUGUCAGGUCUCAUAGAGAUUUGGUGGCGCAGCUAACGCAUUAAGUUAUCCGCCUGGGGAGUACGGCCGCAAGGUUAAAACUCAAAUGAAUUGACGGGGGCCUGCACAAGCGGUGGAGCAUGUUGUUUAAUU